UGUAGUCUAAACCUUACAUGAGAAAAGGGUAAAACACGUAAUUUUGUUGGGAGCUAAAUAACAUUUUUAAUGCGCCUUUGUUCACAUAUUUAAGCAUGUGCAUUUAUCCAAACCUACGUUUGGAAAGUACUUUGAAAAGUAGCGUUGUAAAGAUUUUCGUUAUUUUCCAGAGUUUGUGUGAUUCUGCUCUUCUAAUCGCUUGCAACUAAAACUUUUUAAUGGGCUUUCAGUUGUGAAUUGUAAGAUUCGCACUAGAUAAUGGGAGUUUAAAUUUUGGUGUCUUCGGCCAGGACGGGCUUGGUUCAGCUGCUGAAAUUAUCAAUGAAUUGCAACGAAGUUUCAGUCUUCAUUCCGGUCGCUGCCUCGACUGAUAACUCGGAGAAACAGUAACGUGCUGUGUGUUUUUGUUUAACAUGUAGCUGCUUGCAAAUGUUUUCUUACUCUGUUGACUUGUAACAGUAUUUAGCAUUAAUGUAGCCGUGCUUUGCCACUUUGUAAUUGAAAUGCAUGUUAAUUUUCACUUCGAAGCUUCUGCAUCCGACGUAUUGUAAUGCUUUGUUUU